AACGAACGCUGGCGGCAUGCCUAACACAUGCAAGUCGAACGAGACCUCCGGGCUUAGUGGCGCACGGGUGCGUAACGCGUGGGAACCUGCCCUUAGGUUCGGUAUCACUCACCGUAAGGGGUGCUCAGACAGGAGAAUGUCUUCGGACCAAAGAUUUAUCGCCUUUGGGUGGGCGCGUGUAGGAUUCGUGAGUUGGUGGGGUAAAAGCAUGCCAAUGCGACGUUGCAGAGCUGGUCGGAUAGGAUGAUAUGCCACACUGGGCCUGAGACACGGCCCAGACUCCUACGGGAGGGAGGGGAAUAGAAUAUUGUACAAUGGGCGCAAACCUAAUCCAGCCAUGCGGCGUGAGUGAGGAAGGCGUUUGGGUUGUGAUGUUCUUUGAGCCGGGAUGAUAAUGACAGUACCGGGAAAAUAAGCACCGGCUAACUACGUG
rnacentral:rRNA from 1 species